rnacentral:lncRNA from 1 species
AUGAUGGGUUCCGACCCACGUCAUUGGAAGGGACGGAGACAACAGAGAAGGGUCAUUUCUGACGCAGCGGUUCCAGGACACGGGGCCCAGGCGGUCCUCGGAGACCCCGGGGCAGCCCGCGAGCCAGGCACGGAGGACAGGGAGCUGCCAGGCAGUGGCACCAACCCCAGCUUCGGUCCAUGGUGCCCCGGGGCGCUCCACGGUCUCUCUAACCGGCAGGAACAGAGAAAUGGGAAGUCCAGAGACCAGAGGCAGGGACCUGACCGGCCUCCCACACGGGAAACAGCAAUGCCAGCCAACGGGGCCAGCGGCACUGACGCGUGCAGCGCGGUGACAAGGGGACAAGAGCACAGGGGGCAAGACGCCCCCUCCCCUGAACUCAGGUCCUGGGUUCCAGAACACUGGCUACUCUGCAACGCCGUCCUCCCAGGGUCCACUGCCCCUUGCUUCCGUCCCAGCGGGACAGAUGUUUGGUCAGGCAGGCUCCUGCCAGCCAGGGAGAGAAGGUCCCAACCUCGUGCCCGCGGUGGCCGUGUCUGGCCUGGGGCACAGAAGCCACUAGGAGGAGCCUGGGGAGAGCUCUUCCAAAGGGAAAUGGCCCAGACGUGCCUUCUCCUUCCUGCCUGGAAUGCAGAUGAAAGGGCCAGGAGCAAGCAGCCCUCCUGAGACCAGCAAGCCACAGUCAGCGGGACAGAAGCUGAGGAGGAGCUCAGAGGAAGCCCGGUCCCUGGGACCCGUGGAGCUGGGGUCCUGCCUGCCCUGGGCUGGCAGCUAACGGGAGGGGAAGUGACCUGUGCGCAAUGGUCACCGCAUUCAUACGUGGACUGAGCCUGCUCCUCAGGGAGCAUCAGCAGAAACUAUCCUGGGGUGUUUAAGGGAUCCCCCCCGCCCACAACCCUGGUCCAUGAACAUGGAGAAACAGCCAAUCCCAGAAACAAAAACAAAACUAAACAGAAAAAAAAAAAAAAAACAGAAAAGCCAAAAACAGGGACCACAUAGAGAAAGACGUGUGUUUUGUGCACGCCCACCCAUCGAUCAAUGCAGACGGGCAGAGAUCACCUGCAGAAAGGCGGCUAUUCUCACGCUGCCUUACAAAAUAAAAUCAAACUUUGCUACA